rnacentral:rRNA from 1 species
AGCGAACGUUAGCGGCGGGCCUAACACAUGCAAGUCGAACGCGAAAGGUCUUCGGACUGAGUAGAGUGGCGCACGGGUGAGUAACACGUAGGUAAUCUACCCUUUGGCGGGGGAUAACGUUCCGAAAGGAGCGCUAAUACCGCAUAAGACCACGUGGUCUCCGGACCGAGUGGGAAAAGGUGGCCUCUUCUUGAAAGCUACCACCGAAGGAUGAGCCUGCGUCCCAUCAGCUAGUUGGUGGGGUAAUGGCCUACCAAGGCGACGAUCUAUAGCUGGUCUGAGAGGAUGAUCAGCCACACUGGGACUGAGACACGGCCCAGACUCCUACGGGAGGCAGCAGUGGGGAAUAUUGGACAAUGGGCGAAAGCCUGAUCCAGCCAUGCCGCGUGAGUGAUGAAGGCCCUAGGGUUGUAAAGCACUUUCAAUCGUGAAGAAAAGUUGCAGGCUAAUACCCUGUGACCUUGACGUUAACGAUACAAGAAGCACCGGCUAACUCCGUG